GAUGAACGCUGGCGGCGUGCCUAAUACAUGCAAGUCGAGCGAACAGAUGAGGAGCUUGCUCCUCUGACGUUAGCGGCGGACGGGUGAGUAACACGUGGAUAACCUACCUAUAAGACUGGGAUAACUUCGGGAAACCGGAGCUAAUACCGGAUAAUAUAUUGAACCGCAUGGUUCAAUAGUGAAAGACGGUUUUGCUUUCACUUAUAGAUGGAUCCGCGCCGCAUUAGCUAGUUGGUAAGGUAACGGCUUACCAAGGCAACGAUGCGUAGCCGACCUGAGAGGGUGAUCGGCAACACUGGAACUGAGCCACGGUCAAGACUCCUACGGGAGGCAGCAGUAGGGAAUCUUCCGCAAUGGGCGAAAGCCUGACGGAGCACCGCCGCGUGAGUGAUGAAGGUCUUCGGAUCGUAAAACUCUGUUAUUAGGGAAGAACAAAUGUGUAAGUAAAUAUGCACGUCUUGACGGUACCUAAUCAGAAAGCCACGGCUAACUACGUG
rnacentral:rRNA from 1 species